rnacentral:rRNA from 1 species
UACGGAGGGGGCUAGCGUUGUUCGGAAUUACUGGGCGUAAAGCGCACGUAGGCGGCCUUGUAAGUUAGAGGUGAAAGCCCAGGGCUCAACCCUGGAAUUGCCUUUAAGACUGCAUCGCUUGGACACGGGAGAGGUGAGUGGAAUUCCGAGUGUAGAGGUGAAAUUCGUAGAUAUUCGGAAGAACACCAGUGGCGAAGGCGGCUCACUGGACCGUUGUUGACGCUGAGGUGCGAAAGCGUGGGGAGCAAACAGG